rnacentral:rRNA from 1 species
CUGGCUCAGGACGAACGCUGGCGGCGUGCCUAACACAUGCAAGUCGAACGGAGUGCUUAAAGCUUGCUUGAACACUUAGUGGCGGACGGGUGAGUAACGCGUGGGGAACCUGCCUUUCAGAGGGGGAUAACGUUCUGAAAAGAACGCUAAUACCGCAUAACGUAUGACCGUCGCAUGGCGGACAUACCAAAGGAGCAAUCCGCUGAAAGAUGGCCCCGCGUCCGAUUAGAUAGUUGGCGAGGUAACGGCUCACCAAGUCGACGAUCGGUAGCCGGACUGAGAGGUUGAACGGCCACAUUGGGACUGAGACACGGCCCAGACUCCUACGGGAGGCAGCAGUGGGGGAUAUUGCACAAUGGGGGAAACCCUGAUGCCAGCAACGCCGCGUGAGGGAAGAAGGUUUUCGGAUUGUAAACCUCUGUCCUUGGUGAAGAUCAUGACGGUAGCCGAGGAGGAAGCUCCGGCUAACUACGUGCCAGCAGCAGC